rnacentral:misc_RNA from 1 species
AAGCUUUUUCUUCACGCAGCCCUCUCUAAAGCCCACUACACUCCCAGGCUUACCGUCUUCAAAAGGGUAAAAAACCAAUAUCAAACAAAAUUCCACCAAUCUUGAAUUCAUUCUCCAAAAACAAUGGGUUCUCUUCUUCUUCUACUCAUGAAAUCCUUCACUUUCUUCAAUCCCAUCUAUUUCUAAAAUUACCCAUUACCCUGAAAUCCUGAUUUUGAUCUUCUUCAAUAAUCAUGUAUUUAUCGGAAAAGCCUCGCCCCAUCCAUUUCUACAAGGAAGAACUUCAGCCUGCCACCAGAGAUAGCAUGAUUAUUGAAGUUGUCUCAAGCAAUGGUGAUCUACCACCUCAUCAGCACCAUCUUCACAACCCUCAUCAGCAACAGCCGCCUCAGCAGCCGCAGCAACAGCAACAGAUGAUUCUAGGCGAGAGCAGUGGCGAGGAUAAUCAUGAAGUGAAAGCUCCUAAAAAGCGAGCUGAGACAUGGGUACAAGAUGAAACGAGAAGCUUGAUAGCUUUUCGCCGAGAAAUGGAUCGUUUGUUCAAUACUUCUAAGUCGAACAAGCACUUGUGGGAGCAAAUAUCUGCUAAAAUGAGGGAAAAGGGAUUUGAUAGAUCUCCAACUAUGUGUACUGACAAGUGGAGAAACUUGUUGAAAGAGUUCAAGAAGGCUAAGCAUCAAGAUAGAGGAAGUGGGUCUGCCAAAAUGUCUUAUUAUAAGGAGAUUGACGAGAUAUUAAGGGAAAGAAGCAAAAAUGCCCAGUAUAAGAGUCCCACUCCUACUAAAGUUGAUUCCUACAUGCAAUUUGCUGAUAAAGGCUUUGAUGACACAAGUAUAUCUUUUGGACCUGUGGAAGGUAUGCCAUUGUCACUGACUUAGAAGCAUUAUAUUUCAUAUUUUAUAUUUGGACUUCCUCUCUCUCCAUUUUUAUGGUGGUUUUUUUUUUCCUGGGAUUUGUUUGUUUGUGGCUGAGUCUCUGCCAGCCUUCACUUCAUCGCUCUCAUAACAACUUGGCAACCAACAUUAUAAUGAGUCUACAAGAUUAACCAAUCAAAAACUUAUCCAGCUUAUACUGACACUGUUAUAUAUAUAUAUAUUAUUUUCUUUCAUUACACCCGGUUUUGGUUACAUAUCUAGAAAGAUAGGGUUGUUAAAUCCUUUUCAACUACAUCCCUCCACUUUAUCUUAGGUCUACCUCUUGCUUUCUUUUUCUCGUGCAAUUUCAAUAUGCUCAACUUUCCAUACCAGCACAUUUACUGUUCCACAAUGCAGUGCACAUGUCCAAAUUGAAACUAUCAGAGUCUCCCUUCUUUCAAAAAUUGAUUGUAUCUUUCAAAAGAGAAAACAACAGUAAUAUCAUCAGUAAAUACCGCAUUCAGUAAUAGUGAGUCUUUCAUGGGAAGCAGAAGCUUAGAUGAAGAUUGUAUUAUUUGUCUAAAUAUUUUGAAUGCUGUUCCUGUAAAUUCUUUCUUUUUGGUAGUACUAAGCAUCAUUAUCCUUCAGGCUAGAAUUCAAAGCACCUGUCCUCCCAGUUCUCUAUAAUAAUUAAAAAGUGAGUUUAUUUAUUCAAAAACAAUUUCCUGUACCAAUUGGCAAUUCUUUUUGCAGAAGUCACAACCGGAGCUUUGCUUAUUUCUUUCUCUAGUGGCAGAUCUUGGCUUCUACAAGUCUUUAAUGGCCCACUAUAUGUUCUAUUAUGCCUUGGAAUUCUGAAUUUCUUCAUUGAAGAGUGAUAAAUAUUUGCAGUGAGCGAGAGGAAAUUGAUUCUGUAUCAUUUGCUAAGCACUCUUAGUAGAAAUGUUCAAUUGCCACUAGAAGUCAACAUCACUUUCCUUAAAGUCCUACUUUAUAUAAACAUCCAGACCACUAAAGGUUCAUCAGCUAUGUCCCAUCUGUCCUCCCUUCUGGUACCAUAUGCUGUAUAUGUUCUUUAAACGUUUCCUGAGAACCUUCCACAAUUGCUUCCCCAAAUGCUAAUGCACCAGAAGGAGCCUAACUUUCAUAAACAAGUUAUUGAUGAGAGAAAAAAGAUGCUUCAUGAUAGUAUUUUAAAACAGUAGUUAAGGAAACAAAGUGCAUCAACAGUUCAUUUUAGUAAUUCAUAACACCAAACAGGCUUUUGGUUUGUUGACUGUUCAUUAGUAGCUAGGGAUGAUAGUUGAAUUAGUGAAGUUCCAUUAUCUGUGGCUUAUGCCCAAUGCAAUAUGGUGUCCUUGCAAAAUUUUCCAAUUUAUAUGUAGUUUUCCUCUUAUACAUUUUUAUAUUUGUGGAGCACUCUUCUACUUUCUUGGUGUGGAUAGGACCUGGUUAAAAGAUAAACCAAUAAAAUGUUAUUAUCUCUUGGACUAUAUUCUAUAUUGGAUGUGUAUUCUAUCCCUUGGGAAAGCAAUUCCACUUUCCCAUGUUCAUCAAAUAAAUUAGGCAUUCUUUUCCUUAAGAGUUUCAUGGGUGUUUGUAUGCAUUCUUAUAUUGUUGUCUAUCCCUGAGUGGAUAAUAUUGGGGAAGAAAGAAUUUAGAUUUCAUCUUCAGGCACUCUUUCGGAAUCAGUUGGCCACCUGGUGAUUCUAGCACAUGUUGUUUUAUGCAACUUUUCCUAUUAGUUUUAUUUCAAAGACAUGCAUUUCCCUUGUUGAAGUUCCUAGGUGUGCAGUCAGUGGCUGGAUAUUUGCCACUGAUAUUAUAUUAAAGAAUUAUUUAUUUUUUUGCACUCUCCAAAUGCAUUCUCAAUCUAUUCCACUAUCACCAACUUUCUGAGUGGAUAGUAUUUUGUGAAGAAAGAUUUUAGAUAUUACCUUCGAGCAGUCUUCCUGAAUCAGUUGGCCAUGUUGUGGUGCUACCUACUUUUUCUAUGACCCUCUUCCUAUUAAUUUUAUUUUAAAGAGUUAUGCAUUUCCCUCGUUGAAGUUCCUUGGUGUGCAGCUAGUGGCAGGCCAACUCUCAACCUUGAAAGACGUUUGGAUCAUGAUGGACAUCCUCUCGCCAUCACUGCAGCUGAGGCAGUUGCAGCAAGUGCAGUUCCUCCAUGGAAUUGGAGGGAGACUCCCGGAAAUGGUAAGUUUCUAAAUUAGAUCUAAUUGUUGUCUAGGAUGUAAAGUUUUCCAGUGUCAUUAUGACUUGCCAAAAUGAACCUGUUUUAAGCCAGCCCCUGCGAUCCUGAGUUUCUGGCUCUGAACUCCCAAAAUGAAUCUGUUUUAAGCCAGCCCCUGUAAUCCUGAGUUACUGGCUCUGAACUCCCAUGAUGGAGAUGCCAGUUUUUUGUUGGUGUAUAUUUUGUGUUGACUUAUUUUAAAAUCCCAUCAAUUCUCCCAUCAAUUCUCUCAUUUGGUAGGUGCUGAGAGCCAGUCAUUUGGUGGAAGAGUGAUAACAGUUAAGUAUGGGGACUAUACAAGAAGAAUUGGUAUUGAUGGCACAGCGGAUGCCAUCAAGGAGGCAAUCAAGUCGGCUUUCAGAUUAAGGACUAAACGUGCAUUUUGGUUGGAGGAUGAAGACCAGAUAAUUCGUAGUCUUGACAGGGACAUGCCUGUUGGGAAUUACACUCUUCAACUUGAUGAAGGUAAUUGAUGCCGUAUCACUUCCAUGCAUUCAUAGUCUUUUUCCUCAGUAGCUUUUAACUUGUGAAUUUGAGAGUUGAUGAAAUAAAGAACCACUGGCAUAUAAGAUUGUACUAUAGGAUGCUAAAUAUGACUUUGACACCAAUUUCAGGAUUAGUUGUCAAAGUGUGUUUAUAUGAUGAUUCGGACCACUUGCCAGUGCAUACAGAGGAAAAAAUAUUUUACACUGAAGAUGACUACCGUGAUUUUCUGACUCGCCGGGGUUGGUCAUGCCUAAGGGAGUUUGAUGGAUAUAGAAAUAUUGAUAACAUGGAUGAUCUUCGUCCAGGUGCUAUUUAUCGUGGAGUGAGUUGAUAUAUUAUUCCAUUUUCAUAGCUUGGAGCGUCCUGAAGUGAUUGUUAUGUCAUAAAUUAACUGUAUCACGAAAUUGUGUAUAGAGAGUGCUGUAAUACGUUGAAUGGACUGGGUUGCAUACGCUCAUUUAUUGUAAAUAGUAUCUCCCACAAUGAACCUUAGAUUAUCCUACCCACCAGAAGUUUGUGCCUGAAACCGAUGCCCUUUUUCCCGCUAGGCCAAUUUGGUUUAAGGCCCCCAGUCAAUGAUGGUUUAGGACCUUAAACCAAGUUAGCCAUAUCCACCCAGGCUUGGC